rnacentral:lncRNA from 10 species
AUAAGGAAAUCUAUUCCUGUGGGCAGACAUUAAACAUGAGAGAAAUUAACACAGUUGCACUAAUGCAAACACAAUGUCAAUAAUUUAUAAUCUGGGAAAAGCAACUGGUAAACCACAUUUUAAUUAUAUAGGCUCAUCGUGACACAUCACUUAUGUGACAUUUUAAAACUCAUUCACACAAUAAUUAAUCCAGACAAGAAGGUUUUAAUAAAUUAUAACCAGAUACAUUAUACUAGCAUAGUUUUCUGUCAGCAUAUUUUUUCCUAUACUACUGGACGUUUGUAAGAAUAUCACUGGGGUCAGAUAUAUUCAUACUCCUUCAUUUACCAAGCUGUACAAGUGUUUUUAAAUAUAUUAGUUUAAUAUGUUACCAACAAGAGAACAAAUUACUCAGUAAACAAAUGGGUAUCUGAAAAUAAGAUGCGUUGUUCAUGGAUUUCAUAUUUGCUUCCAGGCUGCAAUACAUGGAACAGUAAAGAGUAGCUUGGAAAUUAAAAUAUGUUAAAUUCAGGAACAUGCUGGAUAAUUUUAAAAGUUGGAUGGUUAUAAAGAUGCAAACCCAUGUUUCAUUUAUGAAAAACAAAAGUUUCUAUUAAGAGCAUUAAAAAUUUGAAAAAAUUUAUUUUUUAUCAUUUGUUUUUUGACAGAUCUAAAUUCAGUAUUGUCACUGGGCUUUUUUUUGCAACAGUUCUAGUAAAGAAUCUAGUUUUAAAACACCCAAGACAUGUUCAACCCUUUGACAUUCUAGUCACCAUGGCUCUCUACCAAGUUGGACACUUGAGAAGGAAUGCUUUUAAGUCUAUUUAGCCAGUUGUCUAUGUUUAAAAAAAAAAAAGCAAAACAAAAAUAAUCUCCUUACAUUUGCUUUGCUCAUUAAAAAGUACUUCCACGUGCAUUAGCACAUCUGAUCAUCUAAAGACAAUUUAUUUGGGACAGAUAUUAUCCCAAUUUACAGUUGAGGAUACUAAUAUCAGAGAGGUUUGGACUUGCCCAAGGUCACACAGUUUUGAUUCUGGAAAGCUUCUAAUAUAAUUUUAACUUUUAUACCACCAUACUACUGCUGCAGUUAGAGAAAAUGUGCUUUGUUUAUAUUGGCAUCACUCAGCCAUAGAGCAGUGUCUGACACCUAGUUGUUUAAUGUAUGUUUUGUAAAUGAAUGAAUAGAGAAAUGAUUUAAUGUCGGAGUCACUGUUGGGUUCUGUAAGAGAAAUUAUUUAGCUACCUUUGGCAGGAAAUGAAUCCCCUCGGCUCAUUACAGUGGCACCAAGAGCUCCAGAGAUCUGAUAAAUUUUGAAGAUUCCUAAAACAUGAACACCUGAAGGCCCAGUUGUAUGCUUCAUUUAGAAAUCCCCACCUCUUCUUGUGAGUCAAGUUAACUUGAGUAUGAGAUGUUUAGCAUUAGCCUCAUGGCAACCCCAAGGCAAAAACAUGUAUUUAUAGAGGCUGCUAAGAAAAGUCCCAGAAGUGCUGUGUUCCAAAUCUGAGAACAGAACUUUGGUGUGCUUCAUGUAUUGAUUUUCAGGCUAGGGAAGCAGAUGCAUCCUUAAAAUCAACUUAUGUCCUUCCCGUCCCUGGGAAGCCUUCUCCAACUGCACACUCCUUCAAACAAGGAAAUUAUAUUCCCAAUAAAUAAAUGCUGUGAUGUAUUCUAACUGCUCCACCAACUGGUUGUACUUCAUCUUUUUCUUUCUCCUUGAGCCUCCCU